rnacentral:rRNA from 2 species
CUUGGUCAUUUAGAGGAAGUAAAAGUCGUAACAAGGUCUCCGUUGGUGAACCAGCGGAGGGAUCAUUAAAGAGUUCUAUAACUCCCAAACCCAUGUGAACAAUACCUUACGUUGCCUCGGCAGGUCGCGCUCACCCUGUAAGACCUACUACCCUGUAGGACCUACCCGGGUGGCGCGGGUAAGCCUGCCGGCGGCCUACCAAACUCUGUUUAAUAUUGAACUCUGAACAUAUAACUAAAUAAGUUAAAACUUUCAACAACGGAUCUCUUGGUUCUGGCAUCGAUGAAGAACGCAGCGAAAUGCGAUAAGUAAUGUGAAUUGCAGAAUUCAGUGAAUCAUCGAAUCUUUGAACGCAUAUUGCGCCCAUUAGUAUUCUAGUGGGCAGGACCGUUCGAGCGUCAUUUCAACCCUUAAGCCUCUGUUGCUUAGCGUUGGGAGCCUACGGUAACGUAGCUCCUCAAAGUUAGUGGCGGAGUUGGUUCACACUCUAGACGUAGUAAUUCUUAUCUCGCCUAACAGUUGGACCGGCCCCCGCCGUAAAACCACCCAAUUUAUCAAGGUUGACCUCGAAUCGGUUCUGAAAAUCCACUGAACUUAAGCAUAUCAAUAAGCGGAGGA